rnacentral:tRNA from 1 species
GACUAUAUGAUCUAAUGGUUAUGAUACAACACCUUCAACGUUGUUAUAUGGGUUCAAUUCCCAUUAUGGUUA